GGCGACGGGUGAGUAACGCGUGGGUAACCUGCCUCAUACAGGGGGAUAACAGUUGGAAACGGCUGCUAAUACCGCAUAAGCGCACAGUACCGCAUGGUACGGUGUGAAAAACUCCGGUGGUAUGAGAUGGACCCGCGUCUGAUUAGGUAGUUGGUGGGGUAACGGCCUACCAAGCCGACGAUCAGUAGCCGACCUGAGAGGGUGACCGGCCACAUUGGGACUGAGACACGGCCCAA
rnacentral:rRNA from 1 species